UACGGGGGGGGCAAGCGUUGUUCGGAAUUACUGGGCGUAAAGGGCUCGUAGGUGGUCAACUAAGUCGGAUGUGAAAUCCCCAGGCUCAACCUGGGAACUGCAUCCGAUACUGGAUGGCUUGAAUUCGGGAGAGGGAUGCAGAAUUCCAGGUGUAGCGGUGAAAUGCGUAGAUAUCUGGAGGAACACCGGUGGCGAAGGCGGCAUCCUGGACCAAUAUUGACGCUGAGGAGCGAAAGCUAGGGGAGCAAACGGG
rnacentral:rRNA from 1 species